CCUACGGGAGGCAGCAGUAGGGAAUCUUCCGCAAUGGACGAAAGUCUGACGGAGCAACGCCGCGUGAACGAUGAAGGCCUUCGGGUCGUAAAGUUCUGUUGUUAGGGAAGAACAAGUGCUAGUUGAAUAAGCUGGCACCUUGACGGUACCUAACCAGAAAGCCACGGCUAACUACGUGCCAGCAGCCGCGGUAAUACGUAGGUGGCAAGCGUUGUCCGGAAUUAUUGGGCGUAAAGCGCGCGCAGGCGGUUUCUUAAGUCUGAUGUGAAAGCCCCCGGCUCAACCGGGGAGGGUCAUUGGAAACUGGGAAACUUGAGUGCAGAAGAGGAAAGUGGAAUUCCAAGUGUAGCGGUGAAAUGCGUAGAGAUUUGGAGGAACACCAGUGGCGAAGGCGACUUUCUGGUCUGUAACUGACGCUGAGGCGCGAAAGCGUGGGGAGCAAACAGGAUUAGAUACCCUGGUAGUCCACGCUGUAAACGAUGAGUGCUAAGUGUUAGAGGGUUUCCGCCCUUUAGUGCUGAAGUUAACGCAUUAAGCACUCCGCCUGGGGAUACGGUCGCAAGACUGAAACUCAAAUGAAUUGACGG
rnacentral:rRNA from 1 species